UGUUGCCUACGGGGGGCAGCAGUGGGGAAUAUUGCACAAUGGGGGGAACCCUGAUGCAGCGACGCCGCGUGAGUGAAGAAGUAUUUCGGUACGUAAAGCUCUAUCAGCAGGGAAGAAAAAAGGACGGUACCUGACUAAGAAGCCCCGGCUAACUACGUGCCAGCAGCCGCGGUAAUACGUAGGGGGCAAGCGUUAUCCGGAUUUACUGGGUGUAAAGGGAGCGUAGACGGCGCGGCAAGUCUGAAGUGAAAGGCAGGGGCUUAACCCCUGAACUGCUUUGGAAACUGCCAUGCUAGAGUGUUGGG
rnacentral:rRNA from 1 species